GAAACUGCUAAAGGGGCUGAAUGUGACUGACGUCUUUGGAAGGAUGAGACUUAGCGUGCCUGUACAGUUGUGUCCAAAUGCUGUCCUCAUCUCCCAAUGAAAAGCUGAACUAGGGCCAUGCCUGGGACAGACAGAGAAUGGCCUUCCAGCAGACAUGCCAAGAAGCAAGCCAGGGUCAGUGAGUGAAGAGGAGGGCAGGCCCAUUUGAAGCAACACAGUUUAUCAAGGAGUCUUUAGCAACAUGAAAACGAACGUGUGUUAUUUGCAAACCAAGUAUAUCAUUACUGAACCUGAAUAUCCUUACUUUUUCAUAAGAGCUGUGGCAAUUCCUUGAACCACACUGAUUGCUAUAAAGUGGAAGAGGAAUAGAUUGAAUUUUGGGGAGUCAACUACAAUGUGUACUACAGGAACAAAACCCAUCAGAAGAUGUCAGAAGAUAAGGAUUUUUGUCCUGAUGCUACACUUACCAGCUGUCCCUCAGUGUUCUACUUCUUAAAAAAAGAGAGAUGGAUAAACAGAGGCAACCCGAGGAUAAAGGCCUUGCUCAGUGUCACACAUUUCAGUCACUAAAUAAGACACAAUGGAUGCCAGUAUUCUCAUCCCCUCACAAAUAAAGAGCCUUCAAGCUCUUGCAGUCAACAAGAACUUUUGGAAUGAUUUCACUGCCUGAAAAGGCAGAUACAUAGGUGACACCCACAAAUAGGAAGAAAAUCAACCUGAACCUGAGUGUGUGGGCUCACUGACUCUAAGCAGUAGAGACAGAAGAAAAAGUUUUAGCAAAGAAGGGUUCUGAAAGAAAAUAAAUAUAGCUCGUUAUCAAGUGCUGUUUUUACACAGUAAAACAUGGGCAAAAUUACUCUUCUUUAAGUAGUAAUUCUUAUCUCUUGAUUAAGUCACCUACUCAUUCAUUUAAUAAAUACAUACUGAUUGUUUUC
rnacentral:lncRNA from 1 species